GGCCUGAUGGUCUAGUAGUAUGAUUCCUGCUUCGGGUAUUACCCCCUCGGAUUCCGAGGAGCAUGCAGGAGGUCCCGGGUUCAACUCCCGGUCAGGCCC